CGGAGGAAGAUAUCCGAGCCGUACUCUUCAAACUGGACGGCUCAGAUCGGCUAUUCGGAACCGGGAGUUAAAACCCAAAAUUCGGUUAUUCGGGUUCAGACUUCGGGUAUCGAUUUUUUGUGACCAGGCUGACUUCCAGAAACGCCCAAGAGGCUACAGAGCCGCUACAGAGCCUACAGUCAGUUCCCAGACCAAUCUCCGACUGGAACAACCAAAUCACCUCGAAAUGCCUCGAUGGCGGUUCCGAUCCGGCGACCUCGCCUGCGCGCGCGAUGGCUAUCGCGGUGGCGACAGCAUCCGUGGGAGCAGCGGCCGUCGGGGUGGGAGACGGCGAGGCGGAGCUCGACUACCGGAAGCUUUCGGGGAUAAUAAUCCCCGGAUUCGCGUCGACGCAGCUGCGCGCGUGGUCGGUGCUGGACUGCCACUACUCCCCGUUCGACUUCAACCAAGCUCUUCUCUGCUGUAAAUUGCUGGCUUAAAUGCAUGCUACUUGACCCUUAUAACCAGACUGACCAUCCAGAAUGCAAGUCAAGGCCUGAUAGCGGUCUUUCUGUAAUUACCGAGUUGGACCUUGGAUAUAUAACAGGUAGACUAUAUACCUUAGCUAUUUUUUCCAGUAUUAAUUUUCUUAUACUAAUGGAAGAAAAUGAAGGAAAUAUGUUCUUUUUCUUUGUAA